UACGUAGGGCGCGAGCGUUAUCCGGAAUUAUUGGGCGUAAAGAGCUCGUAGGCGGUUUGUCACGUCUGCUGUGAAAACUGGAGGCUCAACCUCCAGCCUGCAGUGGGUACGGGCAGACUAGAGUGCGGUAGGGGAGAUUGGAAUUCCUGGUGUAGCGGUGAAAUGCGCAGAUAUCAGGAGGAACACCGAUGGCGAAGGCAGGUCUCUGGGCAUUAACUGACGCUGAGGAGCGAAAGCAUGGGGAGCGAACAGG
rnacentral:rRNA from 1 species